CUGGGAAAAAUCAAGACGAAAACUAGGGAACUACUCAAACAUCAGGGAGGUGACACAGACUCGGCAGACAGACAACAAAGACUCACAAAACAGAAACAGAGUUGCACAAUUCUCACAAAAUCUGGACAGUGAAAGGAAGUGGACAUUAUCCAACACAAAAGCAACGAAAGCGGAUACUCACAGAAUCAUCCAAACAAUUCA
rnacentral:lncRNA from 1 species